rnacentral:rRNA from 1 species
GACGAACGCUGGCGGCGUGCUUAACACAUGCAAGUCGAACGAAGUGGCGAACGGGUGAGUAACGCGUAAUCCACCUGCCCUUCAGAGGGGGAAAACAGUUGGAAACGACUGCUAAUACCGCAUACUGAAGGAGGGGUUUGCGUCUGAUUAGCUAGUGGGAGGGGUAACGGCCCACCAAGGCGAUGAUCGGUAGCCGGUCUGGGAGGAUGGACGGCCAAAUUGGGACUGGGACACGGCCCAGAAUCCUACGGGGGGCAGCAGGGGGGAAUCUUCCGCAAUGGACGAAAGGCUGACGGAGCAACGCCGCGGGAGUGAUGACGGCCUUCGGGUUGGAAAGCUCUGUUAAUCGGGACGCGGUACCGGAAUAGAAAGCCACGGCUAACUACGUGCCAGCAGCCGCGGUAAUAC